rnacentral:rRNA from 1 species
AUUGAACGCUGGCGGCAUGCUCUACACAUGCAAGUCGAACGGUAACAGGCCGCAAGGUGCUGACGAGUGGCGAACGGGUGAGUAAUGCAUCGGAACGUGCCCAGUCGUGGGGGAUAACUACUCGAAAGAGUAGCUAAUACCGCAUACGAUCUAUGGAUGAAAGCGGGGGACCGUAAGGCCUCGCGCGAUUGGAGCGGCCGAUGUCAGAUUAGGUAGUUGGUGGGGUAAAGGCUCACCAAGCCAACGAUCUGUAGCUGGUCUGAGAGGACGACCAGCCACACUGGGACUGAGACACGGCCCAGACUCCUACGGGAGGCAGCAGUGGGGAAUUUUGGACAAUAGGCGCAAGCCUGAUCCAGCAAUGCCGCGUGCAGGAAGAAGGCCUUCGGGUUGUAAACUGCUUUUGUACGGAACGAAACGGCUCUGGUUAAUACCCGGGGCUAAUGACGGUACCGUAAGAAUAAGCACCGGCUAACUACGUG